rnacentral:tRNA from 1 species
GGUUGUGGCUCAGUGGUAGAGUGCUUGCCUAACAUGUGUGAUGCAUGGGUUCCAUUCUCAGCACCA